GUGUUAUGACAGGGCGGCUCAACAGACACGCGCAUUAUUCGUUCCUACUGUACAGUAAUCAAAUGAUUCAUCACAUCAUUUAAUAUGGCUCGUGAUGGCGCAACGACAGAGAAGUAGUCCGGGAUAUUUUAAGUUGGUGAAUGCUUUAUGUUUGGAGCAGUGCGACUAUGCUUGAGAAGACAUCACAGCAACGGUAAACACUAGACCUAUUUACAAGUGUGAUGGACGGACAUGACCAGCACAUAAGGGAGCCCAUGUUUUCAUGAGGACCCUCAUCAAUCGAGCACAACCACACCGGGCUAGGCUCACCUCCACUACUCCUGUGCGAGUAUUUCCAGGAGAUGUCAGCAUUGGAUUAUUUUAACUUAAUCCCACUUCUCCCAGAUGUAUGUAUCUAUGUAAAUGCUACAAAAUAAAUAUGCUAGAUUCUGACCAGUAGAGGUCUCUGUUUUUCAUUAGUCACACCAGCAGUGAGAUUGGAUUGAAUAAUUACAUGAAUGGUUUAUAGGUUCAUUGCGUGAUUGUAACUUGUUAACACAUUUUCUACAUCUGGAUAAAAGUGCCCUGAGUGAUAACCUUGUGUGGGUUGUGUAGGAGAGCUUUGAAAGCAAACAAGUAGGAGAAGAGAACUAGUAAAGAAUUCAAACUUAAAGUAUAACAUCAAGUCCGGGUCCGUGUGUAGAGGACGGCUUGGAGAAAGGCAGUUCUGUGUGGUUAGAUACAUGCAAUGCAGUCUGAUACAGGGUAAAUUCUGAUUGCUUUGUUUGGUUGGUUUUGUGUCAGGGAAGCGUCUCAGCUGUCCUGACUUUAGACAAGGGAAAGGAAACAGUAAAGUUAGUAUUCCAAAACGAAGUUAGGAUUUUUGUUGUUUAUUUUUUUUUUAUUGUUCUGUACCUGU